GUGUCCUGAAGCCUUUCCACUUUCCUUAUUCCAACUACCGACAAUACGCUUCGUUCUGUUAAAGCUACGUGGAGAUGCGGGUUAACUUGUUGAGCGUUGCGCCUCUGAGACUGUGCAGGUGUGUGUGUUCCAGGUGCAGCUCGCCUCUCCACCUGCUUCCUGUUUAUUAUCUCCACCCUGCAGCAGCCAAGUGUUGCUUCUGUCAUUGUUACAAGCUGGGUUUCCUCAGUGCUGCUUCCUGUAGUACUUAUUUCAAUUUGAGAUCUUUUUAAUUGAGCAAUAAUUAUUAUUUUUCUCUGAUAUGUUAGAUGUUCACCUGGUUUCAAACUUCCGUCUCUGUUUUGGGGCUUUACUGCUGGAGCUUUGAAGUCCAUGUCUGCCUGAGAGGAUUUGGAUUCUGUUCAUUGGAAGCAUCAAAUUAAAAGCGUAUUUGUUCAAAGAUAACUAACUUAAUCAUUUACACAGUUCAUGUUUUACAUCAGAAAAGUUGAAGCACCUCCAUCCCAUUCUUAUGGAAGAGGAUUGGGACCAGUGGGAAAAAAAAAAAAAAAGUAAUUCAGAUUUUUCCCUUAGAGUUUUGACUUUAAUAUUCUGAGAAAAAAGUCAGAAUUUUGAGGAAGAAUAAUUUUUUUCAGUGGACAUAAUUCUCAUGUAGUUUUGAAUCACUUUUAGAUAUCAGUAAAAUGUAUUAUGUCGUUUUUUUAAUUUCACGUCCAUUUGGAUGGAUACAACAACGUGUCUAUUUUUAUGUGCUUUUUCUCAUCUGUCCUUGUCCAGUUUCUGUCUCCAUUAAACUCUAAAUGUAAA